CGGCAACAGCUCAAAUUUGAAAUCUGGCGCAAGCCCGAGUUGUAAUUUGUAGAGGAUGCUUCUGGGCAGCGGCCGUUCUAAGGUCCUUGGAACAGGACGUCAUAGAGGGUGAGAAUCCCGUAUGUGACCGGCACGUACCCUCCACGUAGCUCCUUCGAC
rnacentral:rRNA from 1 species